ACUCCUACGGGAGGCAGCAGUGGGGAAUUUUGGACAAUGGGCGCAAGCCUGAUCCAGCAAUGCCGCGUGCAGGAAGAAGGCCUUCSGGUUGUAAACUGKUUUUGUCAGGGAARAAAUCUUCUGGGCUAAUACCCCGGGAGGAUGACGGUACCUGAAGAAUAAGCACCGGCUAACUACGUGCCAGCAGCCGCGGUAAUACGUAGGGUGCGAGCGUUAAUCGGAAUCMCUGGGCGUAAAGCGUGCGCAGGCSGCUUUGCAAGACAGAGGUGAAAUCCCCGGGCUCAACCUGGGAACUGCCUUUGUGACUGCAAGGCUAGAGUACGGCAGAGGGGGAUGGAAUUCCSCGUGUAGCAGUGAAAUGCGUAGAUAUGCGGAGGAACACCGAUGGCGAAGGCAAUCCCCUGGGCCUGUACUGACGCUCAUGCACGAAAGCGUGGGGAGCAAACAGGAUUARAUACCCUGGUAGUCCACGCCCUAAACGAUGUCAACUGGUUGUUGGACGGCUUGCUGUUCAGUAACGAAGCUAACGCGUGAAGUUGACCGCCUGGGGAGUACGGCCGCAAGGUUGAAACUCAAAUGAAUUGACGG
rnacentral:rRNA from 1 species